GAUGAACGCUAGCUACAGGCUUAACACAUGCAAGUCGAGGGGAAACGAUAUUGGAAGCUUGCUUCCGAUAGGCGUCGACCGGCGCACGGGUGAGUAACGCGUAUCCAACCUGCCCACCACUUGGGGAUAACCUUGCGAAAGUAAGACUAAUACCCAAUGAUAUCUCAAGAAGACAUCUGAAUGAGAUUAAAGAUUUAUCGGUGAUGGAUGGGGAUGCGUCUGAUUAGCUUGUUGGCGGGGAAACGGCCCACCAAGGCGACGAUCAGUAGGGGUUCUGAGAGGAAGGUCCCCCACAUUGGAACUGGGACACGGUCCAAACUCCUACGGGAGGCGGCAGUGAGGAAUAUUGGUCAAUGGGCGAGAGCCUGAACCAGCCAAGUAGCGUGCAGGAUGACUGCCCUAUGGGUUGUAAACUGCUUUUAUAAGGGAAUAAAGUGAGCCUCGUGAGGCUUUUUGCAUGUACCUUAUGAAUAAGGACCGGCUAAUUCCGUGCCAGCCGCCGCCGUAA
rnacentral:rRNA from 1 species